ensembl:snRNA LOC120098669 U6 spliceosomal RNA
ACGUGCUUUGACACAAAGAUACUAAAACUGGAAGGAAUCAGGAAAGAUUAGCAUGCUCUCUGCAAGGAUGACAUGGAAAUUCAUGAAGCAGUGGAUUCAUUU